rnacentral:misc_RNA from 1 species
GAUGAAGAACGCAGCGAAAUGCGAUAAGUAAUGUGAAUUGCAGAAUUUAGUGAAUCAUCGAAUCUUUGAACGCAUAUUGCGCCCGCCAGUAUUCUGGCGGGCAUGCCUGUCUGAGCGUCAUUUCAACCCUCAUGCCCCUAGGGCGUGGUGUUGGGGAUCGGCCAAAGCCCGCGAGGGACGGCCGGCCCCUAAAUCUAGUGGCGGACCCGUCGUGGCCUCCUCUGCGAAGUAGUGAUAUUCCGCAUCGGAGAGCGACGAGCCCCUGCCGUUAAACCCCCAACUUUCCAAGGUUGACCUCAGAUCAGGUAGGAAUACCCGCUGAACUUAAGCAUAUCAAUAAGCGGAGGA